CUCCGGUGUACUCCUGAACGCAGACAUGCAGCGACACAGAGCGACUUUGUGUGACUUUUCCUGAACAGUGCGAACACGUUUAACACGGCGCUAACCUCCCACCUAACUCUCACCGUUAAUGCACAGAGACUGCCCGUUUUUCAUGUUACUGUACGUUUCUCUUGGCAGGUCAGUCAGGGCCUCUACUUUCUUCAAACCAGAAGUCAUUUUCUCAUUUCUCAUAAUUAAGAGUUAAUUGGGAGUGCACCUGUGGUUGUAUUUAAAGUGCUUACCUUUAGAGCCAGUGCCUUUUAACCCUUGAUACCAUGAGACAAUCUGCGGACCUCCGCAAGUCCAGUUCCUCCUGAGAGGCAGGUACCACGGGCAUCUGUACAAACUUUGGCCCUAAAGAACAAGCUUUAGUCAAGUUAAGUUAAGGCUCUGUGUUACUGAUUAGAAGGUCGGGAGUUCAAGCCCCAGCACUGCCACAGUCUGGGUUGCUGAUCGGAAGGUCGGGAGUUCAAGCCCCAGCACUGCCACAGUCUGGGUUGCUGAUCGGAAGGUCGGGAGUUCAAGCCCCAGCACUGCCACAGUCUGGGUUACUGAUCGGAAGGUCUGGGGUUCAAGCCCCAGCACUGCCACAGUCUGGGUUACUGAUCGGAAGCUCGGGCGUUCAAGCCCCAGCACUGCCACAGUCUGGGUUACUGAUCGGAAGCUCUGGGGUUCAAGCCCCGGCACUGCCACAGUCUGGGUUACUGAUCGGAAGGUCGGGCGUUCAAGCCCCAGCACUGCCACAGUCUGGGUUACUGAUCGGAAGCUCGGGGGUUCAAGCCCCGGCACUACCACAGUCUGGGUUACUGAUCGGUAGAUCCAGCACUGCCAAGCUGCCACUGUUGUGCCCUUAACCCUCUCUGCUCCAGGGGCGCUGUAUCAUGGCUGACCCUGUGCACUGACCCCAACCUCCUGACAUGCUGGAGGAAAGAAUGACAUGUGAAGAAAAGAAUUUCACUUUGCACAUGCAUAGGUGAUCAGUAAAGACUUUUACCCUAUCCAGUAAAGACUCAUUUCCAUUAUCCUUAGUCCUAAAGGUUCGACUGAACCCCUAGACAACAAAGGAACUGGUGACGGAACUGGAGGCAUCAAGUACCCAAAUAUGUACAGCCACCUUUAAGAGAUUCUUACAUCGCUAUGUCCUGAGAGGCUGUACGGAAGAAGCCACUACUCCAAGACAGGCAUUUGCAUUAGAUCAGCAGCAUUUCCUCAGGUCAAAUAAAACAUAAUGGGCCAUAAUGAUCAAUUGUGAAGCAUGGGGGUGGCAGCAUCAUGUUAUGGGGAUGUUUUGCUCGGAAAGGGGCUGGUGCAUUUAUAUAAAGUAUAACCUCAAGACAUAAGACAGAAAGUUAAAACUUGGGUCUUCCAGCAGAACAGUGAUCCUAAGCAUACGUCCCACGCUGUAACAAAACGGCUUAAAGACAACAAAGUAAAAGUAUUUUAGUGGCCUGGAUCCCACAGAUCAUUCGUGGCGUGAACAGAGAAACCGUAUCUGAGCGAGGAGGCCCACAAAGCUGACCGAUUUACACCAGUUCUGUCCGGAGGAAUGGGAAACAAAU
ensembl:lncRNA